rnacentral:rRNA from 1 species
CACCGGCAGCUCAAGUGGUGGCCGCUUUUAUUGGGCCUAAAGCGUUCGUAGCCGGCCUGAUAAGUCUCUGGUGAAAUCCCGCAGCUUAACUGUGGGAAUUGCUGGAGAUACUAUCAGGCUUGAGGCCGGGAGAGGCUGGAGGAACUCCUAGGGUAGGGGUGAAAUCCUAUAAUCCUGGGAGGACCACCUGUGGCGAAGGCGUCCAGCUGGAACGGACCUGACGGUGAGUAACGAAAGCCAGGGGCGCGAACCGG